ACAUACUAGCUCAUUGGUAGAGCAUUCGGCUAUUAACCGACUGGUAGUAGGUUCAAAUCCUGCGUAUGAACAA
rnacentral:tRNA from 1 species